rnacentral:rRNA from 1 species
UACAGAGGGUGCGAGCGUUAAUCGGAAUUACUGGGCGUAAAGCGUGCGUAGACGGUUUUGUAAGUCGGAUGUGAAAUCCCCGGGCUCAACCUGGGAAUUGCAUUCGAGACUGCAAGGCUUGGGUGCGGAAGAGGGAAGCGGAAUUUCCGGUGUAGCGGUGAAAUGCGUAGAUAUCGGAAGGAACAUCAGUGGCGAAAGCGGUUCUCUGGGCCUGUACUGACGCUGAGGAGCGAAAGCGUGGGGAGCGAACAGG